rnacentral:lncRNA from 10 species
GGGGCAAGGAGGCAAGGAAGUUAGGCAUUGAAAACAGAGAGCAAAGAAAGAGGGAGUUGAACAAGCGGAACCUUUGAAGAGAAACUCACUUGGGAGCUUAUCUGAAUCAGACGGGGGAGAAUUAAAGGUUUUGGUGAGAGCUGUUUUUAUAGUCUCUGCACUAAUCCAUGAAGACAAGGUAUAAUGCAGCAUCCUGCAAGAAUAACCUGUAACAACUGCAAGAGGAGGGACCAAGAUGACUCAGCAGAAACAGCUCUGGUGUGCAGCCCCCAGCAAGGCCAAUGCAGAAGGAAACCACAAUCUCACUGAAAAUAUACACUAUUCAGUACUACAGAAGAGGUAAAAUAAUAAUAUACUGGAAAAAUGCAGCAAUAAACAUGUGUUUAAAAGACUGAUAGAAUAAAUAAAACACUUAAAAAAAUCACAAACCCAUUCUGAAUGCCCAAGAAGUCCUGGAAUACAGAAAUGGCUUCCUCCUUCACUAUUUCUCAAGAAGAAUUGCAGGCUAUUUGCUUCAGAUUGUCCUGGAAUUACAUUCUCAAUUUGUAAUAACUGGUUAUGUACUGGUUGUAGCACACAAUUAAAAUCACACUAACUUCCUCUGCAUUGUCAUUCUAGUUUUAUUUACACAACGAGCGAAGGAUAUGUUUUAGAAUAUCCCCCUUUAAUCCUUUUCAAACAUAUUAAAAUAAGGAGCCAAAACUGUAUUAAUAUAGGUAGCAAAGGUCCACAUUAAGUGGUGCUGAGAUCGGGGAAAUGUCCCAAACCAGUUGCUAGGGCCUGAGAGUGGUUGCCAUUGUCAAAAGCUUGCAAAAACCUGUAUUCACCGAGGGAUCCUGGCAUUGUGUCAGGACAAAAUUGGGACCCUUUGCAAUAAGUCAGCAGGAAUAAGGCAACGGCAAAUGCAGAAUGUGUGAGUCAUGAAACGUAAGAGCCAGCGCCAGAGCGUCACAUUAUUUCCCCAAGCGUGAACUUCACAAAUGCCUCAUCCUGUUCUGCCAGUUUUGUGUUUGAUUUCUUCAUGCUCCUCUCGAAUUUUCUCAUCACAUUCUUUCAGAAAACGUUCACAGACCUACUCAUCCUGCCCUAGAGUAGACAAGGCCUGUCUUUAUUUAAUGGUGAGGAUGUUAUAGAUGAAGUCCUUUGAGGAGAAAUGCAUGUGACCGUGCAUCAGAAGUACGAGGUGGAUCUGUCGGUUGGAAACUAGUUUCUAAAACGCCUUCUGUUCCGCAUGCGUUUAUUCUCUUCUUCUGCACAGAAUUUGCUCCGUGGUGAGCCUGGAGAUGUCUCUGGAUGGGGACAGCUCCAUUCCCAGCUACUUCUGCGGGGCUGGUGGCGCAGAGAUGGGCGCAAAGGCUGAAAGUCGCAAGUCCUGUGCUUCUGGAGUUCAAAUGCUUCCUUUCCAGCGGGUCUCCUUGCGCCAUGGGGCCGUGCUGGGGUGAAUCUGGGGAAAACAACAGGAGAGGGAGGCCAGGGAACGCAGGGAUGGAGGGAGCCUAACCACGGACUCAGACGGAGCCAGGCGGGUCGCGGGUGCUGGAGCCGCCUGAGGACUGGAACCCCCUGAGGACAGGAGCCGCCUGAGGACUGGAGCCCCCUGAGGACUGGAGCCGCCCUGAGGACUGGAGCCGCCUGAGGACUGGAGCCGCCCUGAGGACUGGAGCCGCCCUGAGGACUGGAGCCGCCUGAGGACUGGAACCCCCUGAGGACUGGAGCCCCCUGAGGACUGGAGCCGCCUGAGGACAGGAGCCGCCUGAGGACUGGAGCCCCCUGAGGACUGGAGCCGCCCUGAGGACUGGAGCCGCCUGAGGACUGGAGCCGCCUGAGGACUGGAACCCCCUGAGGACUGGAGCCCCCUGAGGACUGGAGCCGCCUGAGGACUGGAGCUCCCUGAGGACUGGAGCCGCCUGAGGACUGGAACCCCCUGAGGACUGGAGCCCCCUGAGGACUGGAGCCGCCUGAGGACUGGAGCCGCCUGAGGACUGGAACCCCCUGAGGACUGGAGCCGCCUGAGGACUGGAGCCGCCUGAGGACUGGAGCCGCCGCGAUUGCAUCCACUGCAGGGACAGUGGCCAGGGCCGGCCCCGAGGCCUAAUCAGGAGGGGCAGCACGACACGGGGCUCUUUAUGUCUUUAAUGUCUGUAUUUAUAAAUAAAAAGUACGUUUUUGUAAGAUUUGCUCUUUCUUUCAGAAAUCUCGGUGGACUUCUUCCAUGUUGAAAUAUGUAGCCACAUGUAGCUGUACUUUUUUCAAUUUUAGUAAAUUACAACCUAUUUCUUCUUUUGUUGGAAAAUUAAAAGCAAUGCUAUUUCUUGGGUUCAUGUUUUCCUUCAAAUAUAUGCUCAAGUCUAUCCAGAACAUAAAUGAAAGGUGGAAUUAUGGUGAAAAAGAACUUUCAUGUAUGAAUUUUACAAAAUUUCCAAAUUUCUCUCCAACUGUAAUAAUUUACAUUGUCAACAGGAAGAUAUUUAAAUUUCUUUUGCUCUUUAUGCUUAACCAAAUGAAGCUAUUGAUACACUUUUGAAUUUUUUGGUCUACCACCUGAAUAUUGUUACCACAUAAUAAAGUGUACCCAAUUAAAUUUGAAUUUAAGAUGAACAAUGAACAUAAUAUUCUGUUCAGUGUGGAUUUGCAGGAAACUUGUACUAAUAAAUUUUUGUUAUUUAUCUGAUAUUCAAAUUUUAUAUUGUCCUGUGUCUUGAUUUGCUUAAUUUGACCAUCUAGCAAACCUGACUCUGGAUGUCAACUACUCAAGAAUAAUUGUUAGUGUUUUCUCAGUUGUUUUCUGUUUUAUCAUAAGGACCUAAAACAGGGACUUGGCACAUCUUUUGGGUAUAUAAUGUUUACUGACAUUGUUGUAAGUAAUUGUACCUUUAUAAUUUUAAUUUAUUUGUUGACAUAAAAAACAAAACUGCAGUUAUUA